ACGUCCUUUGCAAAAGCAGGUUGCGGUUCAACGUGUAAGGCGAGCGCCAAGGUGGAGACAGAAGAGUAGACCAUGGCAGUGGAGGGGAAGAGGGGUAAAAAAAAAAAAAAGAAGAAGAGGAAGACUACCCGGAGACUGUCACAGAGGGCCAGAGAGUGGUCAUUCAACACUGUAAAAUCUGACGAGUUUACGGGUGUAAAUGCCGAAGGUGUCAGAGUUGCCCUCCUGGCUGCCCGCCCAGAUCUCAUUGUGGUUCUGAACCCCCAGAAUCCCCAGAGUAAAAGUUUUGAAGUGAUGCUGGGGAGAAAGGGGAGUACUGUCUUCCAGGGAUACACCUCUAUGGGAAGUGUCUUUCUCUCCUAGGGUCUCAUCUGUUGUCUAAUUAUUCCCUUUCCUACAGAGGUAUGUCUGGUCGGGAAUAAAGAAAGACCCACCUCGCAAGCUGAAGUUCCCUGAGCCUGAAGUUCUUGCCCUGGAGAAGGCACUGAAGACUGAAUAAACAUUUGAGGGAAGUAUGCAUAGGCACAAUCUUAGUAGUUCCCACUGGACACAGAUGUCUAUUCAACAGUGGUUUAACAAAAUGACAUGGAAACAAGGUUGAUUCAACCAGUGUAAGCUCAGGGGGUUGUCGUUCCGUGUCCAAUUCAAAUGACUAAAUUCAAAUCAGAUUGACCCAAACUGUAAUAGAAAGGAAUCCAUUGAAAUAAACAGACUGGUUGAGAGGGUUUGGCUACUCAAGAGAGUAAACAGUGAGACCAAGAGAAAAACACUAAAUUAAGGCAAUCCACUUAUUUGAUUGGAAUAAAUAUCCCAUUAAAAUGAUUUGCUAAAAUAGUGAAUUCUCCCUCUUGUUCGUUGCAGCCAGUCAGCAAGGGUUUGUAGCAGCUGGAUGCAGAAUGAUGAGGACUGACCAAUGUGGUUGCACCCCAGUAAUUCCUCUGAUGAGACUGAGUCAAGCUCCUCUGGCCUGGGUAGAGGAUCGAAGCGCAAGGCAAACAACAAGGCAGAGACUGAGGAGGAGACUUUAGUCAUCGAGCGAAAGCGGGGUAAAAGAGAGGAGGGGGAAACGGAGACUGCUACAGAGGGCCAGAGGGUGGUCAUUGAACACUGUAAGAGCUGAUACGUGUACAGACGGUGUGCUGAGGGGGUGCGAGAUGCCCUCCUGGCUGCCCGCCCAGACCUCAUCGUGGUUCUGAACCCCCAGAAACCCCGCAAGAAAAGCCUGGAGGUCACACUUGUGGAGGGAGGGAAAGAGGUGUGCCUCUGGACAGGCAUAAAGCUAGGCCCACCUGCCAGGCUGAAGUUCCCUGAGCCUGCCAUUGUGGUUGCAGCCCUGGAGGAGGCACUGAAAAAUUAAGAGACCCAGUGAAGCUGUUCCUCUAGGUUUUGGAAACUGGACGCAGAAUGAUGGGGACUGACCAACGGGGUUGCUCCCCAGUCUGUCCUCUGAUGACCCAAGCGUCAAGCUCCUCUGGCCUGGAUACAUGGUGACAUCUAGUGGUAUCUAUCUGAAGUGCAACACAUUCCCUCUAUUAGGUUACUGUACAGUGGUGGUUCACAAAAUAUUUUCAGUAUACUGUCAGUGUAUUCCCUGAGUAUCACCUUAAAAAAUAAUCUGUCCAUAAUAAUGACCACACUGACAAAGUGGCUUGAUACUCACGCAUUGAGUUGGCUUGUUUACACUGGGGGUUUACUCUUUAACCGUUUGGGAAACACUGGAUAACAAUAUAUUUGUUGCUGAGUAUUCACUGGUCAAUUUCCUAUGUUUAGUCUCAUGUGUUUUAAUAUUUUUUCUAUGGAGAAUAACAUGUAUGUUUCUAUACUCUUCUGUCUCAUUCUUUGUUUAGAAAAGUAUGGAAUAUGUGCAUAAAGUUUUGUGCCUGUCAAAAAUAAAUGUUCUACAUUUUAAAUCAAC